AACUCUCCACACUCGUCUCCUCUGCUCUGCUCCUCUCUGGGGCGGGGACACAGACACCCGUUUCCUAUUGGCCGAGAAGCCGGGACUCGCUCCCCACACAGAACUCUCUCACAAAGCAGAGAGUGAGUGAAAACUUAGAGGCACUCAUUUUGGAUUUACCAUCAAGGUAGAGACAUGUUACACGCUAAAGACAUUACCUUUAGAGCAAAACAACUCAGAAUUCACGACGACGAGGCCAUGGAACUUAUAAAAUAAUAUCCUUUUUAAAAAGCGACUUAUGCCAUUUCCAAGCGCUUAAUGCACAGACCGGCACAAAGGGUGGGUAUAAAACCACAAGAGUAAGUAUGAACUUGUUACUAUGUUUUGUCAAUGAACAGAACUACUUACAUUGAAUAUAAGCAAAGUUACGCAAAGUAACUGAUGGACUCAUGAUCAAAUUGCAAUGAUGGACGUAGCCGCAAGGCGGCAUGGUUAUCAAAUGAUUGACUUUCCAGAGGUGUUGAUAACGCUUGAACAAUGUGCCAGGAUGUAAACCACAGAUUGGGUCUUGGCAAGGAGGCAGCAAUGCCAUUGAUAACCAACAUAACAACCUUUGGCCUACUUACAUCUCUUUGUAUGUAUUAGGCCUGCUUACACAGAUAAUGAAUGACAUGUGAACUUAUCACGUUUGAUCCCGUGCAAUUUCGACCUAUUGACAAAAUACGUUAAUGAGAAAGUAUAAAGCUAUGAUAUAGGCCUAAAGAAAUCCGUAUUGUUCACUGGUACGCUAACGAAGUAAGCGUUUGACUGAUGUAAAUUUCAUAUAUUUGGAUAAACCUACAUGUGAUUACUGUUAUGAAUAGCCAAAUAUACUUCACAUAAAAAAAAUGAUGAGCUGUUGAUAAGUGUGAACCGUUAAUCCUUUUUCUGAACUACUUUGAAAACAUUUAUUAACCUGCAGAUCCAGAUAUCAUCCAUUCUCAUAGGCUACAACAUUAAGGUGAAUGUAGAUACGGGUAAGAAUGUUUUGGUGCUAAUAUUAGGCUGACAUUCUAUCUAAUACCACAGCAUUGUUGAAUACUCAUUUCUGAUUGGCUAGAAGGGCAUUCCAGAAUGGACAUUAUAACCAGACAACGGGACAGUUGUGGAAAAGAUAUCUGGACAGUUGGAAAAUAUAUCGGGACACCUUGCAAUCAUGACGCAAUAUGUGCCGACACGUGUCAAACGUUCUUGCUACAAAGUGACAACAACACAAACCGAAAUUGGAUACAUUGUAAAACCCAGGUCCAACAAGGAAAUAUGUAGGUAGUUAAAUAGCAUUGAUUUGUUUUCUGCAGAAAAAAAUAUGUUUUGGUACAUCUGAUGAACUAAUGUGGUGAGUGAUGAACAUGAAUUUCUCCGGCCCCCUGCCACAGAUAUCUGAAGUGUUGAGGGUAGUGUGUAAUUGGCAUGCUGACUGCAGGAAUGUCCACCAGAGAUGUUGCCAGAGAAUUGAAUGUUCAUUUCUCUACCAUAAUCCAAUAAUCACCUCUAAUGUUGUUAUAGAGAAUUUGGCAGUACAUCCAACCGGGUCUCACAACCUCAGACCCCGUGUAACCACGCCAACCAGGACUUCCACAUCCACCUGCGGGAUCAUCUGAGACCCGCCACCCUGACAGCUGAUGAAACUGUGGGUUUGCACAACUGAAGAACUUCUGCACAAACGGUCAGAAACCGUCUCAGGGAAGCUCAUCUGAAUACUCGUCAUUCUCACCAGGGUCUUAACCAGACUGCAGUUCGGCGUUGUAACCGGCUUCAGUGGGUAAAUGCUCACCUCCGAUGGCAUGCUGGAGAUGUGUGCUCUUCACGGAAUAAAACCCAGGUUCAAUAGGUAUACCGACGAGGAGGCAUACAAAGGUAUAGCAAUUGCUAUUGGUGUGUUAUGCAGAGCCCACUUACCACCCGCCUCCCUUACCUCUUCAAUGAAUACCCCAUAGGCUUCUACAUUAUGGACAAGGUUAAUAAAGUUAACAUGGACACGUACCACGCUGCAUUUUGGUCCGAUCCAUCAUAUUCCUCAUCAGACGAGGACGAGAAUCGUCACAGAUACGGAGAACACUAACACCAACACGCCAGAGGAUAUACCCAUUAUACUUGGGGCUCUGCUGGGAGUUUCUCAUAUUUGGAUGUUUUAAUUCUGCUUUGCCACUAAAAUCAUAAUAAACACUGACAACUAAAA